UUUCACAUUUUCCCGCCUCCUACUGCCUGUCUACCUUGCAAUAAUUUUUAAAUAGCCCUACUACCUCGGUUAGUCAGAAAACCGAGGCAUAAAGGUCUGUUGUGAAACUGAGUAAACCAGGUGAAGCUUUUAUGCUUCAGUUUUACUUGGACCCGAUGCGUAUAAUGCAUUUUUAGGAAUCGGUUGGCCUGAAUAACUGAAGCAGUAUGGCUUUAUUACUUCUGUUGACGUAAUAACCGAAGCAAUAUUUCUUUUAUACUUUCACCCAGCCAAAAUUAACCCUACACACAUUGUGUUUCGUUCUCUACUGUCGUCGUUGCAUCCAAAAGCUUCAUUGCGUCCACCAUUUCUGCCGCUGCUAUCGUCUCUACUUCCUCGGCAUCUCCACCAUUGCUGCUCGUCGCGCAUCUCCCUUGCCAGCCUUGCCUUCGUCGUGUUUUUGACCGCCUCCCUUCGCUCCUCCACCAUUGUUCCUCUUUCUUCUCCCCGCAAAACUGGUUUUUCUUCUUCCUUGGUCGCGCUUCCAUUGCUCUCUGCGGCGAAGAUUUUGUUCGUCCAUUGCUCUUAGGCAAAGCAUCCUCUCAUGCACGUUGGUGCCUCUGUUUCUCCAUCUUCGUUGUUGCAUUUCUGUGUCGUGUCCGUGCCUCCAUUCCAGUCACCGUCACCGCUGCAACGUUGGACUUCGCCGCUGCCUCAAUGGCAUUCAUUGUUUUUCUUUGUUCUUCAUGGUUAGGGCAUCUGCUGUUUUUGCACUGGGUACCCUUCUUGAUAUGGGAUUUGAUACAUGUAGAAGUGUUGGUGGCGAUGAAGAAUGCGACGAUGAUGAAAAGUUUAGGGCUGAAGUUAGUAUAGUUAAGAGUAUGUUAGGUGUUGCUUCAGAUGGGAGUCCAUUGGUGAGGGCAGAGGUAGCAUUAGGUAGGUGAUUAAGCAUCUGAUGCUAUAUUUUGUUUUGAAUUUUUGAAUACAUUUAAUUUUCUUGUGAUUAGAUUGGUAGAGCUCAGACAGGAGGUUGUUGUUUUUAAUAUAUAUCAUCAUUGCAAUUUUAUAAUGAUUUGCAUACAAGUUCCGAACAGCUGGUUGUUUUUGAACUUAGAGAAAUAUGACAAGCCUUAAAACAAAGUAAUUGUUACUGGUGAAUAAGAAAGAAAGUAUCUGCAG